rnacentral:rRNA from 1 species
UACGUAGGGGCCUAGCGUUGUCCGGAAUUAUUGGGCGUAAAGAGCUCGUAGGCGGCUUGUCGCGUCGGUUGUGAAAGCCCGGGGCUUAACCCCGGGUCUGCAGUCGAUACGGGCAGGCUAGAGUUCGGUAGGGGAGAUCGGAAUUCCUGGUGUAGCGGUGAAAUGCGCAGAUAUCAGGAGGAACACCGGUGGCGAAGGCGGAUCUCUGGGCCGAUACUGACGCUGAGGAGCGAAAGCGUGGGGAGCGAACAGG